rnacentral:lncRNA from 1 species
AACCUCAGUCAACAUAAUCAUAAAACGUACGAACCUACCUACCGUAUCCUAAGUCAUUCAACCAACCACCCCUUAACUUAGAAUCAGAUAGAUAGUCCAGAAUAGAUAACAGAACACACGAACAGAUCCGGAUCGUCCCCAAAGACCAAUCUGUCUAUCCGGAUAGAAUCUAGGUGCGACCGGCCAAUGGAGUCCGGCU